rnacentral:sRNA from 1 species
ACUUCCGGGGGUCAGCCGGCAUUGGCUGAGACGCCUUGGUGAGGUGGUGCUGCUUCCCUUCCAAGCGCGACCCGUUGAGGUCCUAGUCAUGCCCAGCCUCAGAACUCGCCGUGAGGAGGCAGAGAUGGAACUCUCAGCUCCAGGACCAUCCCCUUGGACCCCUGCAGCCCAGGCCCAUGUGAAUGAUGCUCCUGCUGUGACCCACCCUGGAUCUGCAGCCUGUGGUACCCCCUGCUGUAGUGAUACUGAGCUGGAAGCCAUCUGCCCUCACUAUCAGCAGCCAGGUACUUUAAGAACAGUUCUCCGCUGGUGCCCUUAUUCUGGGGAAGUGAUGUCCAUGGAACCCUGUGCUUACCCCUAGGAGGCAUCUGUGUUCUGUGUCAUCACAGGUGGGGAGGGUGAGGGGGGUACUCUGACUCAAGGAGCCAAGGCUGGAUGUCAGCAAGGAAGUUGACCUGGCCUGGCCCCUGGCACCUUGAGCAGAACUGUGAUUUCCCCACUUGACACAAAGAGGUAUGACAUGAAGGCCACCAGCGUCCUUUGACUUGCCCUAUACUCUUGACCCCUUCCCAAUUCAACAACCAAGCUGGUGGCAGCCCUCUCCCCUCAGGACUCUACUCUGGUCCAGGCCUUUGUACUGUGGUUACCCAUACAGUUGGCCAUCUAAAGCCUAGGAAGAAAAGCUGAGGAGUUUCUUGUGGGGAAAUAAAGGCAUUCAAAAGCACCCUUGGACUGGGUGUGGUGGCUUAUACCUAUAAUCUGAGCACUUUGAGAGGCCAAGGCAGAAGGAUUGUAUGAGGCCAGGAGUUCAGGACCAGCCAGUAUAACAUGGCAGGACCCUAUCUCUACUAAAAAAUUAAGAAAGGUUGGGUGUGAUGACUCUUGCCUGUAAUCCCAGCACUUUGGGAGGCCGAGGUGGGUGGAUUGCUUGAGGCCAGGAGUUCAAGACAAGCAUGGCCAACAUGGUAAAACCCUGUCUCUACUAAAAGUACAAAAAUUAGCCAGGUGUGGUGGCACAUACCUGUAAUCCCAGCUACUUGGGAGGCUGAAGCACAGGAAUUGCUUGAACCUGGUAGGCAGGGGUUGCAGUGAGCUAAGAUCAUGCCACUGCACUCUAGCCUGGGCAAUUGGAGUGAGGCUCUGUCUCAGAAAAAAAUAAAUAAAUUUGGGGAAAAAAAAGCACCUAUAUAUUUUGGGGAAUCCCGGAAGUCACAUGCAUGCCCAGGACUGGAUGUGUGCUCAGAAAAGACCUGUUAAGACCAUAAGCUUUCUCAAGAACUCUGUCUCAUCUCUAGGCUCAUUGAAGGCAGUCAACUCAGAAAGAGUUGUAAACAGUGUUUAAAAAGUACCCCCAACACAAAGUCAAUCCACAAAGACUGGGAGAAGUGUUUUGUUUUUGUUUUUCUCUUGAUAAAAUCUCAUCAAAACACUAGUUGAACACAAGCUAAAGAAAAAGACUUCAGUGACUGUACUCGACAAAGAAUCAUCUUUCCAAAAAUAGUUUGGAAAAGUCACUAAAUGAACUUGCGACUCUAGUCUUCAACAAUCAAAAACAGCAAAGCCUGGGAGGGGGAUACCACAUUUUAAUAUUCAGUUGUGCAGUUUUUAACAAAGCAAAAAUCAUGAAGCAUAUAACAAAGCAAAAAAAUAUGUCCCACUCAAAGGAAAAAAGUAAACUGACAGAAAGUGUCCUGGAGAAAGCGCAGACAUUGGACUUAAGUAGACAAAACUUUAAAUCAACUGCCUCAAAUAUGCUCAGAGAGGUGAAAGAAACCAUAGAGAACUAGGCUGGGCGUGGUGGCUCAUGCCUGUAACCCGGCACCACAGUGGCUCAUGCCUGUAACCCAGCACCACGGUGGCUCAUGCCUGUCAUCCCAGCACUUUGGGAGGCUGAGGCAGGCGGAUCAUGAGGUCAGGAGAUCGAGACCAUCCUGGCUAACACGGUGAAACCCCAUCUCUACUAAAAAUACAAAAAAUUAGCUGGGCAUGGUGGCAGGCACCUGUAGUCCCAGCUACUCUGAAGACUGAGGCAAGAGAAUGGCAUGAACCCAGAAGGCGGAGCUUGCAGUGAGCCGAGAUCACACCACUGCACUCCAGCGUAGGUGACAGAGUGGGACUCUGUCUC